GAUGAAGAACGCAGCGAAAUGCGAUAAGUAAUGUGAAUUGCAGAAUUCAGUGAAUCAUCGAAUCUUUGAACGCACAUUGCGCCCGCCAGUAUUCUUGCGGGCAUGCCUGUUCGAGCGUCAUUUCAACCCUCAAGCCCAGCUUGGUGUUGGGGAUCGGCACAGGCGCCCUCGGGCGCCCGCCGUCCCCUAAAUCUAGUGGCGGUCCCGCUGCAGCCUCCUCUGCGUAGUAGUUUUCUCCUCGCAAGGGCAGCUCGGUGGCGACCUCGCCGUAAAACCCCCAACUUCUGAAAGGUUGACCUCGAAUCAGGUAGGAAUACCCGCUGAACUUAAGCAUAUCAAUAAGCGGAGGA
rnacentral:misc_RNA from 1 species